AUCAUUUUCCAGUUCAUAAGCAUGAUGAGUGGGUGUUCAUGACAUUAUGUAAGAUGUGCCUCCCUUAAACCACGCAAUGACACAGCCACAUUACCUUAUGACG